UCCCUGGAGGACUAGUGGUUAGGCCACGACGCUCUCACUGCCUGGCCUGGGUUUGAUUCCCGGCCAGGGAA